UUCUCUUUUCCCCUUUGAGAGAACAAGGAGUCGCCGCCCCUCUCCUCUCCUUUUCCUCCAUGACCGCCGCUCCAUCUCUAUAAUGAUGGAGAUAACUGGCGAACAACCAUUCCACCUCGACUAGUAGAAACCACCAGUGAAUCUGUUCACUGCCGCACCUCACCUCUCUGUUCUCCUGUCUUAUUCCCCUUUCUUAUCCUCCUAACUAGUCCUCGUCCUUUGUCUCUCCUUCCAUCGGCGAUACCACCACAACACUGUCCGGCAAACCGCCGUGCAUCCAACGAAAUUCUUUAUCAUUUCUCUCUUUUCAUUCUCUCCUCCCCUUAAGGUCAGCAGCAAUAGUGAACUGCCGCUCCGAUCAGUGAACUCCGGUCCGAAGCGAUGGUUAUGACAGCGGCCAUCAAGUUCAAGUCAAAAUUGAUGGAACCCCGAGGUCAAAUAUAUGAAGCUUCGAGGUCCUAUUUUAGUUAAAGACGGAUCUUUACAAAUUCUUCUAUGGUUUAAAGACGGAGAAUUCGCUUGGGCGGGAAAGUGCGAUGCUACUCUUUUGCUUUUAAAUUUUUUAUUUAUUUGUGUUACUUUAUUUACUUACUUUUUUAUUAGUUUGUAUAAUUCUGUAUCUAAAUAGAUAUAAUUAAUGAAAUAAUCUGGAAAUGUCUAUGGGAGAGAGGGGAUGUAUAUGCUAUUUAUUUUAUUAGCAUCGUAUCUAUUUGUUAGACAUGUGCUAGAAUAAUUGUUUUGUUAAAUAUUGUCUCAAUAUGUUAGACUAA